AGCGGAAAUUUUGGUAAAGGAUAGUUAUGAGGAAAUUGAGAAGAUUGUAAUAAAGUGAUCACAUAGCGGAGUGGAUAUCGCGUUAGACUCCGAAUCUAAAGAUAAUGGAUGAUCAAGAUUUAGGAUUCUUUGCUAACUUUCUUGGCAUCUUUAUUUUCGUAUUUGUUAUUGCUUAUCAUUAUGUAGUGGCUGAUCCCAAGUACUUGGGCAACUAACUGAUUCUGAUGAUCCCCGUAGUGAGUAGUAACUUUUAAUGAGCUCAAGAUGAAUUUCAUUUUUAUCGUUUAUUA